rnacentral:rRNA from 1 species
GACGAACGCUGGCGGCGUGCUUAACACAUGCAAGUCGAACGGAAAGGCCCUGCUUUUGUGGGGUGCUCGAGUGGCGAACGGGUGAGUAACACGUGAGUAACCUGCCCUUGACUUUGGGAUAACUUCAGGAAACUGGGGCUAAUACCGGAUAGGAGCUCCUGCUGCAUGGUGGGGGCUGGAAAGUUUCGGCGGUUGGGGAUGGACUCGCGGCUUAUCAGCUUGUUGGUGGGGUAGUGGCUUACCAAGGCUUUGACGGGUAGCCGGCCUGAGAGGGUGACCGGCCACAUUGGGACUGAGAUACGGCCCAGACUCCUACGGGAGGCAGCAGUGGGGAAUAUUGCACAAUGGGCGGAAGCCUGAUGCAGCAACGCCGCGUGCGGGAUAACGGCCUUCGGGUUGUAAACCGCUUUCGCCUGUGACGAAGCGUGAGUGACGGUAAUGGGUAAAGAAGCACCGGCUAACUACGUG